AAACACUGGCCCAGCUUGGCAACCAAGCCCUGGUUUACCACAACAAGGGAUACCGGGUUCACAGCAUGCAAUGCCUCCUACAAGGAUGAAGCCACCCUUGCCAGCUCCAUUGCCUUCUAAGACUGAUGAUACAGUACAGCCUGCACAACAAAAGUCAAAAGUGCCAGUAUUGGAGAAGCACUUGGUGAACCAGCUAAGUAAGGAGGAACAAAGUGCGCUGAACUCAAAAUUCCAGGAAGCAUCAGAUGCAGAUAAAAAGGUUCAAG
rnacentral:misc_RNA from 1 species